rnacentral:rRNA from 1 species
CAGUCGCCGCGGUAAUACGAGGGGGGCAAGCGUUGUUCGGAAUUAUUGGGCGUAAAGGGUGCGUAGGCGGCUUGACAAGUCUUGUGUGAAAUCUAUGGGCUCAACCCAUAGUCUGCACGGGAAACUGUCGGGCUUGAGUAUUGGAGAGGUGAGUGGAAUUUCCGGUGUAGCGGUGGAAUGCGUAGAUAUCGGAAGGAACACCUGUGGCGAAAGCGGCUCACUGGACAAUAACUGACGCUGAUGCACGAAAGCUAGGGGAGCAAACAGGAUUAGAUACCCCUGUAGUCCCUGUCUCUUAUAC